AUACGGAGGGGGCUAGCGUUGUUCGGAAUUACUGGGCGUAAAGCGUACGUAGGCGGACUGAUCAGUUGGGGGUGAAAUCCCAGGGCUUAACCCUGGAACUGCCUUCAAUACUGUCAGUCUUGAGAUUGGAAGAGGUGAGUGGAAUUCCUAGUGUAGAGGUGAAAUUCAUAGAUAAUAGGAGGAACACCAGUGGCGAAGGCGGCUCACUGGUCCAAUACUGACGCUGAGGUACGAAAGCGUGGGGAGCAAACAGGAUUAGAUACCCUAGUAGUCC
rnacentral:rRNA from 1 species